CCACCUUUCCUCAUGUCUAAUUCGAGGUACUUAAAUAUUCCAUAUUUUGGUCAUUUAAACUCAAAAUUCACUUUAUUUUGCUUCAGUAAUCUAUAAAUCAGGGAUUUAGCCUAUGAAAGUCAAAUACAUCACAAAAGUGAGUUAAUAUUUUCACAAUUAAUCUUUAUAACUAAUUUAGUAACAUAGAUAAGCGUGUAAACGUACACCUAUCAAUAAAAUUUAAGAUAAAUAAAUAAUUUCAAGUUUGUGCAUGCACUACUCCAGUGAUAACUAGCAACUAAAGAUCUCCACUAAAUAAAUAAUUAGUUGCUAAUGAUUGAAAUGAAACAUGCUAUAUAUUUCAAACUAAUAUGCAGAAUUUUUGUUGAGUGAUUUUGGCUAACCCGUUGAAGCUAUAUAUUGAGCAUAUGCCAACAAUUAGUCCCAAAAAUGAUAUUGCACACUAGUCAUGAAAGAAAAAGAGAGAGAUUAAUCUACCUAUUCAUCAAGUAUUACAUCGAGAGUUACAUAACGUACAAGUGAGACUGUGUAAAUAGUCAUUUGUGUAUUAUGUAACCCUUGAUAUACAUGUAGCCCCAAAAAAAUGGUGAAAGCCUUUCCAAAACAAAAAAAAUAAGGUUAAAAAUGGUUGAAGCAUAUGCAAGAAACAAAUUUGUUCGACUUGUCGCUAAUGAAAUUUUGAGGGCCGGGGUACUCAAAGUUAGGGAGAAUUCUCACGUGUGUCUAGUUAGUUAUUUUUAUUGAUUUGAACCAAACAAACCUGAGUGGAUUCGUAAUGAGUAGUUUUUGAGCAUCCAUAGAAACAAUACUAUGGGAGAGACAAUAAAUAUCAAGUUUGGGUGUUCAUCUCAUGAGAGGGUAAGUAAAAGUAUGACUAUUGAGGAUCGAGAUUCAAGCCUGCUUGAUAAUUAUUCUUUUUUGCAUUUUUGACUGAACCCAAGUGAUAAUUUGAUUUUGCUAUGAAAACACACAAUGAUUGAGCAUAAGUUGAAAUUCUUUGGGUAGCAUUUUUUGAGUGCUUGUUGUCAAUUGACUUGUCGUCAGUUGAAAUUCUUUGGGUAGCAACUAAAUUAAACUAUCUAACAAAGUUGAAUUUAAUUUUUUUUUUUUUACACGUAUUUGUUAGAGCAUUUAAGUAGAUGGUUUUGCUCAAGACUAUUAGAAUCUUAAGUUUGGAGGACGUUCGGGGUGGGAUUGGUUAUGUCGAUUUUUUAUCCACCUCAAAUCCAACUUAACAUUGAUCAAGCUUGGGUUAGGUUGGGAUUGGUCCCAAUUCAAGUUGGAUCCAAUUAUUUUUCGUUUAAUUUGAACAGUUUUUUAAGUUCGAAACCAAUUGAAAACUUUCAUUUUUUAACCUAUAAGAAAUUCUUUGUGAAGAAUAAUGUAUAAAUAAGUUUGCGAUUAUGAAGUAUUUUCUUUUUUACAGUUUCCUUUUUUUUUUUUUUUUUUUUUUUUUUUUUUUAGAUUCAUUCAUACUAUCAUCAUAUCCUUAAUUUUUAAUUUACUGUCAAAUAACUUUAUAUUUGUACAUAAUAUUUAUGUCAAUUAGCCUAAGUAGUAUUAAAAAAAAAAUUGGGGAGAGAGAUGUUUGCACAUUUUAAGCCCUUGUUGGACGGGGAUUAAAAUCAAUUUUUUACUAGAUUUUGAUAGAAAUUGAUGAAAUAUAAUAUUGAAAAUUUGUGAGAUCCAUAAAAUAUGUGAUUGAAAUGAAUUGUUAACUUUGUAUUAGAUUAAAAUCUAGUGUGUAAGUCCCUCUCAUAUCUUCACUAUUGUGUCUAUUUAGAUCUUUCUAUUUUAAAUAUUAAUUUUUUUAAUUCGUCGGAUAAAGUUGAGUUGGAUUGAAUUUUAAUUCAUAACCCGAUAUUCAACCCAACAUGACCUCAAAUUUGAUUUUCUAACAAAACCUCAACCCAAUUGAACUUAAAAAUCAACCAAAACUGACCGAUUUGGGUUGGGUAUCGGUUUGAAUUGGUUUUGCCCAAGCCCUAUUUCAAGGUGUUUGAUAACUAUGAUUUAUGUACUUAUAUAGAUUAUUAGAUUUAGCUCUUGUGUGAUAGCCAUUAUUUGACCAAAAUAAUGUUUUGAUUAGUGAUUUUUAGAAGUAUGCAUGAUUAAAAUUAAGAAAAAAAUUUGGUUUACUUGCAAAAUGUUUUAUUGUGUUAAUGUAUAGUUGAAAAUGAGUAUGUAUAUGUGGACGAAUUUCUAACCAAUUUAGUGUAUAUUUCGUCUUCUUAGGUAAAAUCUGAAUUCGAAGUUGAGUCAAGUUAAAAGAAAAGAUAUUGUAUGUUAACUGAGCAAAAUGAUGGAAUUUCAAAAGUAAUCAUUAUCAAAUAAUAUGAAGGGUUGAAAAGCUAGUUGGAACAUUUCAAAAAUUUGAAGGCCAAAAUGAACACUUGGAAAAGUUUGAAGACCAAAAUUGAAGAAGCUAGAAAUCCAGGGAUCUCAUUGAAGUUAAUUAAAAUUCUGUGAUCCAAUUACGAAAAACCAAACUUUAAUGACCCAAAUGAGAUUUUACAUAAAGUUCAAUGAUUGCUAAGGAAAUUUACCCAUUUUCCAAAUGUUAGGUGUCUGAUGCGAUAUCCAAGUUAUAAAAGCAUGUUGAAAAUGCAUUGUAAAAGUGUAAUAAUUAAUAAUUAGGGUAAGAAACAUUAGUUGAAUGUAGUCGAUAUGAUAAUAGCAGUGAAUAAUGAAUAUGAAAACAAGAAUUAUAUGCAAAAAGGAGAUAAGUAUAUCAAGAAUUGGACCAUCUGAAUAUAUGUAAUACUAACUUUUAAUACGUAUUACAUACGUUUUUAUGACAUAUUGCGAAAGAACAACAAUAGUGAAACAAAAAAAGAAAAACCAACAAUCCCAUAGCAAGAAUAGCAAAAGUUUUUCAAGAAUUGGACCACCUAAUAGAUGCACAAUUAAGAACUUGGGCCAUAGCAGAAAUUACACCGAAGUCAUAAUAUGCUACUUUUAAACAAGCAAUAUUAGCUCCCGUUUGGCCCAUUAUAUUUCAUUCUAUUACAUUUCAUUUUUCUUUUUCUUAUUUUCAACCACACAAUUUUUCAUAAAAUAAUAUUAAAUGUAAAUCGAAAAUUUUUCAUUCUUUUUUAACCAUUCAUUUUUAAAAAAAAUAUUAUUCCACCUAUUUUUAUUUCCAAAAAUGUGGGUCAAACUGGGGCUUAAGCUUUAUUGCGAAACAAAUCUCUCUAAUUAUUUUUUAUUUUUAAAAGAAAAAAAAAAAAAAAAAAAAAAAAAACAUAUGAAGCAUCUUAUUACAAGUUUUGGAUAAGGAUAAUCUGAACGAAUCUCGCAAUCCAACCACGUGGAAAAUGCUCUUAGAAAAUAGUUCCUUCUUGAUAAGAAAACCAAAAAUAAUUUCUUAUGGAAAAAUAGUUUUUCUUAUCUUUUUUUUUUUCCCUUAAUAACUUAUUUUCUCGAGUGCUCAAAUUGAAAAUUCCUUAACUCCCCACAAAUAAGAAGUUUUUAAUUAUUUCUUAAACUUAUAUGGUAAAGGAACAAAAUCUAAAAACUUUUAAAUAUCAGUCAUUAUGUGCAGUUUAAUAAAACAUGUAGAGAUUGUCAAAACAUUUUUUAUUCAGUAUACUUAUAUUUGAUUGUUGCAAAAUAAAAGUUUGUAAAUGCAAUAAUAUUAAUCUAUGCAAAAUAAAUUACAACCAUUGUAGAUGAAUAAGAACCUAAAAAGGAUGUUUGACUUAGAGGCUGUUUGAGAGUGAUUUUGAGAAUUGAUUUUUUGAUCGAUAGAAGAAAAGUGGGGUCUAUCUGUGAGAGAAGAAGUCAAAUAUAACGGCUGAAAUAGUGAAAUAACGGUCAAAAAAUCAAUUUUUUUUUGUGAAAAAAUUGGACCCAAACAGUCCUUAGCUUAAAUGUUGCACAAAAAUCUAAGAUCUCAAUAUCGAGAACGCUAAUGAUUAGAAUUUAAAUUAAUAAAUAACUUGGUGAAUGUUUAAUGUGGACUUUAUAAGAAUAAAUUAUAAUAUUUCCGGUGCCUACCAUGUCCUGAUUUUUUUCUGAGAUAAUGGUAUGAAUAUGUGAAUGUGAAUUGACCUACAUUAUGAUUAUGGUAGGGUAGUCUCAUUCCACACUUUCUACAUAUUUUUCAUGAGUUGGGGGACCCAUGCAAUAAUUCCCCAUAAAUGGAUCAUCUAGAAAGACUAGACAUGUCACGUUUACCUUAUGGCAAGGCUAUAUUAAUUUCCGUGGUGUAAUCAUACAACCCUGGUCUAUUCUAUAAAGUUAAUUAUUUGUUAAUUAAAUAUAGAAAACGUUUAGUCCUUGUUUUGCCUCAAUUUUUAAGAUUUUUUUUCCAAACUCAUUUUAAACCACACAUUUAAUUAGAAUCCACAACUUUUAGCCCCCGUUUGUUUCCCAUUUUUUCUUCAUUAAAAUGAAAAAUAUGACCGUUAUCCAUCACAUCAAGCCAUCAAAUUUGAAUUUCUAUCUCUUGUGUGUGAUCCAUAACGACCAUAUUUUUUAUUCUCAUUUUUACAUUAAUGUGUACCAAACGGAAUCUUAUUAAAUUUUCAACCAUACAUUUUUAUCAGUUUUUAUCAAAAUAUAACAAAAACAAAUUAAUUUUUAGCCAAAUCAAACAGGGACUAAGUGCCAUAAAUACUUGGGAUAAUAUAAGUUGGGUGCUUACGUAGGGAAGGACAAUGUGACACAACUAUAAUUUAUGAAGAAUUAAAAUGAGUUGACAACUAAUGAAUAAGGUGAUACCCUAUAUGUUAAGGUUAUGGUGUCGUCUAUUCCUCAAUUGAUGGGAGCAAUUUGUUCUAUUCGAGGGAUGGUAUUUCUUAGUAUUGCCACAAGUGAACUUGGAAUAUACAGGACCCGAGCACUUGUUAGAGUUUAAUUCUGUAGCAUGAUCUUACAAAUCACCCUAUGGUUUGCCUAAAUACUAUGACACGAUAUUAGACGCUAUUCAUAAGCUCGGAGGUACUUUCAUAUACUAAUGAGAGAGAUCAAUUACCCAUGGUCAAAUACAUCAAUAUGCAAUGGAGUAGACAUUUAUUUGUGUAGGAAAUCGGAAAAGUGUGACCUUAAAUAUUUCAGUCGAGAGCGAUAAAAUCCAACCUUAGUAGUGACGCUAAAUCCGACAUCUAUGAUUGGAUCAUCAUAGAAGCCAUUAAAGAAAAUGGACUUAAGUGAAUGAACUAAUUAGAAGGGAAAAAACUGCUAAUACUUAAUUAUUGAAAACUUGGAUGAUGUAAAAGGUAAGCUCGGAAGGUCAGAAAAUGUAAUUACUUAAUAAUUCUAGGGUCCAAUGUCGCGCCUUUAUAUUAAUGAAUGAUUGUUGAUGAAAUAAUUAGACAGGAAAAUGGAGAUUUGGAUAAGUCUAAUUAUUGGAUCUUGAAUUAUACAUGCCAUAUUAUAUCUUUUUGGUAGAUCCUAGUAAAUCGAUACUCGUCACAAAAUAGAUCUAAUUUUUUUUUAGGAACAAGUGAUCGACACGUAUAAUAUAUUAUCAUUAAUUAAUGAUGGAAUGUCUCACACCGGAUUCAAUAAUGAACAUGCAUUAAGACACUGUUAGAAUCAAUAUUUGUGUGUAUUUAAUAAGUAGAUUUUGUUCGAUGAAUUUUCGUAAGCGUACGGGGUCGAUGAUAAGUAAUAGUUUUGAGUGAACUUAUCUUUCUCACAAGGAAUAGGCUUUGACUUGAAUUUUAUCAAUUCAUGAUCAAAUACAGAGAUAGCAAACACAACUGAUGAGUUGAAUGUUUUUAUUAACUACUGAUGAGUUGAGUGUUUAAUUGUAGAGCUCAUUCUACUUAAUUCAACAGUCUCCUUUCAGUAAAAUUAAAUUUAAACUAACAAUUUAUAAAACUAUAAAAUUAACCAUAACUACGCAAAAAAAAAAAAAAAUAUUUUACUUACCUUUAAAUUGAAGAAUUUAAACUUACUAGUUGGAAGCACUUAUUUUCUAAAAACGUAAGUGAACUUUCCUAUCAUUUUUUUUCUUCCUUUCUCUUUCUCUCUCGCUCUCUCUCUUUUUCUUUCUUCUUUCUCCUUUCUUUUCCCUCCUAGUUCUUGGCUAUGUGUGUUUCGUGUGUUGUGUGUGUAACUAUAAAUGGAUUUGCUUUGGACAUAGGCGUAUUGAUAUAAAUCAAUCCACUGCCUACCCCUUUAUAUAUAGGGUAAUUGGCAUAAAACGUCCUUACCUUUUAAAUUUAUUGUGGAAAAUAUGUCAACUUUUCAUUUUUUGACAUUUUCGUCCUUACCUUUUACAUUUCUUUAUGCAGAAUGUCAUUUUCAUUAGUUUUGGACAAUUUUUCCCUCCAUUCAAAUAAAAAAAAAAAGAAAAGAGAAGGAAAAAAAAAAGUAAAGAACUAAUUGCAAUAAUAAUCCCAAAAUUUCAAAAAAAAAGACAAAUCGAUCACAAUUUAUUGUGAACUGAAAAAUUUUUAAAUUACCCAAAAAAAAAAAUGGAAACUUGAAUGUAUAGAGAAAUAAUCAAGAAAUAAAGAAAUUUUUGAACCAUAGCCAAUGAAACUAAAAAUCUUCAAAAAUGGGUAAGCAUAAAUCUCAAUUUUUAUUCAAUGAAGAGUAGACGGAAGGCUUGAGGCAAAAAUCACGUAAUCUUCAAAAUUUUUCAUUUCCAUUGGUUAGCUCGAGAGAGGGAAAUUUAGGCGUGAUCUAAGAACAAUAUAACCUAGGUUUGUAGGUUUCGAGAGAAAGUACGAAUCUUUGAGGGUAAAACAAGAACCAAGUGCGUGAUAAUCUUUAUAUAUUUAAUUCGGAAUAGCGAUAUUGAGGUUAAAAUAUAGAGAUAGGUUCUAUUUGACGCUCGGAAGGGAGAAAUAGAAUUAAUUUAGGAUUCUUGCCUAUGAAUUCAGGAAAUAGUUGAUGGAAAUAUCUAUAGGGAUUGAGAAUUAUGUCGAGAAUACGGUGAAAUCAUUCCCUAGACAUUAUGUAAAUUUGAUUAGUCUUUAGAAAUUGCUUCACUUUUAUUGCAUUAUUUAAUUCAUUGACAUUAGUUUAGUAUUCAAACAUUAAUUUAACACUCAAUUAUCUAGAUAAAGUAAACGCGGACACAAUUAUAGUACUCAGUGGAAGUCGAAUAUCAAUCCCUGUGGGAUCGACACUUUUCAAUUCUUAAAUAUACUACAAAACUUGACACCGUGCGCUUGCGGUAUAAAAUCACGUUAUAUAAAACACGUGGCAGAUGACGUAUAGGAGUUAGCAAGAGCUUUUCAAUAAAUGAGCUUAUCUCAACUAAGGCAUUGACCCACAAGAGACGAUGUGUGAGAGAUGGCUGAAGCUUGGGUCUAGGUAACCUCCCCGAGGCAUGGACCUACAGGGGACGACGCAUGGGAGUUAGUAGGAGCUUUUCAAUUUAUGAGCUCAUCUCAACCGAGGCAUUGACUCACAAGGGAUGAUGUGUGGAAGAUGGUGGAAGCUUGGUUGUCCCCAAAGCAUGUUACAGUACAGGGUAGUCAAUGAUUUGAAAGCUUGAGUAUUUCCAAGAAGAAUAGUUGGAUAUGACGCCUAUUCGUCAGAAAAGACUGUUGCUACUAAUCAUAGCGGACAACUGUUGAGGCUUGAGGCCAUGUGCUUUAAGGCUUCGUGGAUGUCACCGCUGGAUCUUGAACGUUGAUUAAAUCUGACGUUUCAUUUUAAGGGUGUAGAUUCGUGCUGCGAUUUACGGUCCAGAUUAAUUUAAUUUGAAUUCAACGGCGGAAAUCUGCCCAAGCUUCCUAUAAAAGGCGUCCGUUUGCCCAUUUUUUAGUUUUUUACUUUAGCAAUUUUGAAAUCUUUUGAGUUCUUUAACCUUUCACGUUGUUUGUCAAAUUUUCGGCAACUUUCCGUUUAUUGGGACGUUUUUCGACGACUUUGAGUUUUUUGACAGCAAAGUUGGUUUUAAACUUAUUUCUAAGUAAGCAUAAGUUUUUCGUCUUCAAUUUUUAUAGAAAUGGAUUCUGAGAUGGUUGGGCCUUCCGGUCAGAGGUAAGGGGGUUAGGAUAGAUGACCCGAUUGUGCUAAGUUCGACCGAGGUGUCAGAGGCUAUAAUAAGUGGGGGAGAAUAUCUAAAAAUGACCAGAUAGCUGUGUAGAUACUUCACUACACUUGGGGGCAUCUGAUUACCCUUCUAAUUUGACUUCCGUCGACUUGAUAAGACUCCGGAUGGAGUAUGGGAUUCUAGAUAGUAUGGGUCUAAUAGUGCCAAACCUAGACGAGCGAGCCUGCUAUCCCUAACCGAGGUGCAUGGCUGUGAGCGAGGUAAUCCUUAGGGGGAGAUUGAGGUUACCUAUUCACCCUUUCUUCUGUUUCGUCCUUAGGUCCUAUGAUCUAGCCCUCACCCAACUAAAUCCGAACUCUUGAAGUCAGAUGGUGGGGUCUUGAAUGUUGUGGAAGGAGGUGUCGUAUGGGAUAGAGAUGCAUUUCUCGAUUUUUUAGACCCUCUACAUCGAUGAACAUGGGGGAUGAUAGGACGAAAGCGUGGUGCUAUCUGACGUCUUGAGGUGCCCACAUUGCAUUUGUAAUCGACCUGUCGAGUUCCAUCAAAGGUAGAAAAAGCUUGUGGUACUAGGCAUCAGGGAGAUGAGAUACAAUGGAAGGGAACCCCUUAGCACGUCUGACGGUCCCCACAAAGUACAACACACUUAGUGAAUACUAGUGCUUUGGGUUUUUUGUACAUUCUCUCCUCAACUCAUGUCCUAAUUUGAUUUUGGUUUGUGUAGGUGCUCUUUCUUGGUGCGAACUGUCUACUGAGGACUUCAUCAGGAUAAUCUAUCAGCGUCCACCGAAGAGUUGGUCUUAUCAGGAGUUAAUAAGGAAAAAUAUACACUUCACCAAUCAAGGCUUGAUGUCUUCACAAGGUAGAUUAUCUGAACUAGUCACAUUCAUUCCGAGUUCUUUAUACUUGGCUAAUAUUCAAAUUUUAUUAUAGACGACUUCAACAAGAAGAUGCCUUUGAAGCCUGACUUCGCCACCAUCAAACGAAUGAUGGCCAAGACUAGAGCUUUGAAAACCUCCUCCUCGACCUAUAAAAAGUAAACAGAGGAGCCACCAACAAAAAGUUGCCUCCAGCUGAGGAGGAGGAGGAGCCCCUAGCCGGAACGUCAGCUAAGAAAUUCAAAAUACACAAACGCGAAUCUAAAAGCCUAAACACCUACCAACUAGUCCACUCGUUUAAAACCCAGGAUCCAAGUGUAAUUAAUCUAACUUCCUUAAUUAAAUAAAAUCAAAUCAUAACUAAAAUCAAUCUCUUCACAAACCCGAAAAUGCAAAAUCUGUAAAAAAAAAAAAAUAAAUAAAUAAAAUAGUAAAUAUUGAUCUUUAAUUUCUCGACUAAAUUCAAUCAGAACACAAAUGUACAGCUUGUCUUGCCCGCCUAUGGACCAACAGUAUUGUAUAGUUUACCACGUGCCCUGCGGAUUAACGAGGACGAAGCGGAAAGUGGAAGAGGGGAAAAAAACUAAAAAACAAAAACCGAAGUGUAUAAUAAUAUAAUAAUUCCCAUUAUAUAUGCCGACUUUAUUGGGCUGGCUAUUGUCACCCAAAGGCCGUAAACAUUGGGCUGGAUAUUUUAUGGAUCGGACACGGUAACAUGCAGUUAAUGGGUCAGAUAGUGAGCAAAGCUAUAGGGAAAGAUUAGGGGUUUAAUUGAAAAAUAUUGAUUUUGUUAGACAGUGGAAAUUACACGACACACUAUUUUUAAAGAUUAAUAUUAUAAAAAUAGGGGGGAGGUGUAAUUACUCAUAAAAUCAGAUAUUUUAUAUUUAAAUAUCUAUAAUGUGUUUUGCCGUUUAAGAAUUUUCUAUAAUGCAUUCACCACCUUUUCUUUCGUUUAGAUAACCUCUACUUACAGUAUUUUAUAUUCCUUCAAAACCGUUCAUAAACAAUAGCCUAAGUGCCCUUGAUUUAAUUAAAAAUAAGAAAUUUCUCGACUUGGGAUGGAGACAACAGAUAUUUAUUCAUUAAAUGAACUACGCAAAAAAUUUCCAGACGAGGUCGCAGUUGGGGACCUACAACCACACCACAAGUUGCUCAAGCAACCUAAAUAGAGACAUAACUUUUGAUCUUCAAAUUCUAUUACCUUCCCAAUGUUAUAUCAAUACUUGUGGAGAUAUUUGUACCAAAUUUUAAAAUCUAAUUUUCUCAUAUGCGCCAAACGAAUAUUUUUCGUGUCUCCUCUUUGACCUUAUGAUGUUUAAUUCAUCACUUCACAUCUUCAUUAUAUCUCUAAAGAUCAUGUUUAUUCUGAAUUUUUCUCGUCAAUAUCUUAACCCACCUUUCCUCAUGUCUAAUUCGAGUUACUUAAAUAUUCCAUAUUUUGGUCAUUUAAACUCAAAGUUCACUUUAUUUUGCUUCAAUCAUCUAUAAAUCAGGGAUUUAGCCUAUGAAAGUCAAAUACAUCACAAAAGUGAGUUAAUAUUUUCACAAUUAAUCUUUAUAACUAAUUUAGUAACAUAGAUAAGCGUGUAAACGUACACCUAUCAAUAAAAUUUAAGAUAAAUAAAUAAUUUCAAGUUUGUGCAUGCACUACUCCAGUGAUAACUAGCAACUAAAGAUCUCCACUAAAUAAAUAAUUAGUUGCUAAUGAUUGAAAUGGAACAUGCUAUAUAUUUCAAACUAACAUGCAGAAUUUUUGUUGAGUGAUUUUGGCUAACCGUUGAAGCUAUAUAUUGAGCAUAUGCCAACAAUUAGUCCCAAAAAUGAUAUUGCACACUAGUCAUGAGAGAAAAAGAGAGAGAUUAAUCUACCUAUUCAUCAAGUAUUACAUCGAGAGUUACAUAAUGUACAAGUGACACUAUGUAAAUAGUCAUUUGUGUAUUAUGUAACCCUUGAUAUACAUGUAGCCCAAAAAAAUGGUGAAAGCCUUUCCAAAAAAAGGUUAAAAAUGGUUGAAGCAUAUGCAAGAAACAAAACAUACAAUGCAAGCCUCACUAAACCUUUGAAACUGCGAAUUGAGGAUCUAGUUAACAAAUUUGUUCGACUUGUCACUAAUGAAAUUUUGAGGGCCGGGGUACUCAAAGUUAGGGAGAAUUCUCACGUGUCUAGUGAGUUACUUUUAUUGAUUUGAACCAAACAAACCUGAGUGGAUUCGUAAUGAGUAGUUUUUGAGCAUCCAUAGAAACAAUACUAUAGGAGAGACAAUAAAUAUCAAGUUUGGGUGUUAAUCUCAUGAGAGGGUAAGUAAAAGUAUGACUAUUGAGGAUCGAGAUUCAAGCCUGCUUGAUAAUUAUUCUUUUUUGCAUUUUUGACUGAACCCAAGUGAUAAUUUGAUUUUGCUAUGAAAACACAUAAUGAUUGAGCAUAAGUUGAAAUUCUUUGGGUAGCAUUUUUUGAGUGCUUGUUGUCAAUUGACUUCUUGUCAGUUGAAAUUCUUUGGGUAGCAACUAAAUUAAACUAUCUAACAAAGUUGAAUUUAACUUCUUCCUUCUUCUCUUCUUCUUUUUUUUUUUUUAGACGUAUUUGUUAGAGCAUUUAAGAAGAUGGUUUUGCUCAAGAAUAUUAGAAUCGUAAGUUUGGAGGACAUUGGGGGUGGGGUUGGUUAUAUCGAUUUUUUACCCACCUCAAAUCCAACCUAACAUGGUCAAUUUGAUUUAAAAUCAACCCAAUCCAACCUAGUUAUGCGUUUAAAUCCAAUCCAACUAAAAUUGAUCAAGGUUGCGUUAGCUUGGGAUUGGUCCCACUUCAAGUUGGAUCCAAUUAUUUUUCUGUUUAAUUUGGACAGUUUUUUAAGUUCGAAACCAAUUGAAAACUUUCAUUUUUUAGCCUAUAAGAAAUUCGUUGUGAAGAAUAAUGUAUAAAUAAGUUUGCAAUUAUGAAUUUUUUUUUUUUUUUUUUUUUUUUUUUUUGUACAUAAUAUUUAUGUCAAUUAGCCUAAGUAGUAUUAAAAAAAAAUUGGGGGAGAGAGAUGUUUGCACAUUUUAAGCCCUUGUUGGACGGGGAUUAAAAUCAAUUUUUUUACUAGAUUUUGAUAGAAGUCGAUGAAAUAUAAUAUUGAAAAUUUGUGAGAUCCAUAAAAUUUGUGGUUGAAAUGAAUUGUUAACUUUGUAUUAUAUUAAAAUCUACUGUGUAAGUCCCUCUCAUAUCUUCACUAUUGUGUCUAUUUAGAUCUUUCUAUUUUAAAUAUUAGUUUUUUUUAAUUCGUCGGAUAAAGUUGAGUUGGAUUGGAUUUUAAUUCAUAACCCGAUAUUCAACCCAACAUGACCUCAAAUUUGAUUUUCUAACAAAACCUCAACCCAAUUGAACUUAAAAAUCAACCAAAACUGACCGAUUUGGGUUGGGUAUCGGUUUGAAUUGGUUUUGCCCAAGCCCUAUUUCAAGGUGUUUGAUAACUAUGAUUUAUGUACUUAUAUAGGUUAUUAGAUUUAGCUCUUGUGUGAUAGCCAUUAUUUGACCAAAAUAAUGUUUUGAUUAGUGAUUUUUAGAAGUAUGCAUGAUUAAAAUUAAGAAAAAAAUUUGGUUUACUUGCAAAAUAUUUUAUUGUGUUAAUGUAUAGUUGAAAAUGAGUAUGUAUAUGUGGACGAAUUUCUAACCAAUUUAGUGUAUAUUUCGUCUUCUUAGGUAAAAUCUGAAUUCGAAGUUGAGUCAAGUUAAAAGAAAAGAUAUUGUAUGUUAACUGAGCAAAAUGAUGGAAUUUCAAAAGUAAUCAUUAUCAAAUAAUAUGAAGGGUUGAAAAGCUAGUUGGAACAUUUCAAAAAUUUGAAGGCCAAAAUGAACACUUGGAAAAGUUUGAAGACCAAAAUUGAAGAAGCUAGAAAUCCAGGGAUCUCAUUGAAGUUAAUUAAAAUUCUGUGAUCCAAUUACGAAAAACCAAACUUUAAUGACCCAAAUGAGAUUUUACAUAAAGUUCAAUGAUUGCUAAGGAAAUUUACCCAUUUUCCAAAUGUUAGGUGUCUGAUACGAUAUCCAAGUUAUAAAAGCAUGUUGAAAAUGCAUUGUAAAAGUGUAAUAAUUAAUAAUUAGGGUAAGAAACAUUAGUUGAAUGUAGUCGAUAUGACAAUAGCAGUGAAUAAUGAAUAUGAAAACAAGAAUUAUAUGCAAAAAGGAGAUAAGUAUAUCAAGAAUUGGACCAUCUGAAUAUAUGUAAUACUAACUUUUAAUACAUAUUACAUACGUUUUUAUGACAUAUUGCGAAAGAACAACAAUAGUGAAACAAAAAAAGAAAAACCAACAAUCCCAUAGCAAGAAUAGCAAAAGUUUUUCAAGAAUUGGACCACCUAAUAGAUGCACAAUUAAGAACUUGGGCCAUAGCAGAAAUUACACCGAAGUCAUAAUAUGCUACUUUUAAACAAGCAAUAUUAGCUCCCAUUUGGCCCCAUUAAAUUUCAUUCUAUUACAUUUCAUUUUUCUUUUUCUUAUUUUCAACCACACAAUUUUUCAUAAAAUAAUAUUAAAUGUAAAUCGAAAAUUUUUCAUUCUUUUUUAAUCAUUCAUUUUUUAAAAAAAUAUUAUUCCACCUAUUUUUAUUUCCAAAAAUGUGGGUCAAACUGGGGCUUAAGCUUUAUUGCGAAACAAAUCUCUUCGUCCUUGAUAGAUCUUAUUCAUAUCUUGCUCUAUACAUUUUGCCUAAUGUACUUUGAACAGCAAUAAGAGAAACAAUAAUUUAUAGCGAAAAAAUCUUUUGAAAUUAAGAAUAACGAGUCAGACUAGGUAAUAGUGGAACCCCCCCUCUUGUGAGGGGCUGUAAAACUUGUUGUACUUCUUAUUUGUUGACCGCGUACGUAGCCACAUUAUUAAUUUUAAGAUAGACGAAAAAAAAAAAAAAAAAAAACAUAUGAAGCAUCUUAUUACAAGUUUUGGAUAAGGAUAAUCUGAACGAGUCUCGCAAUCCAACCACGUGGAAAAUGCUCUUAGGAAAUAGUUCCUUCUUGAUAAGAAAACCAAAAAUAAUUUCUUAUGGAAAAAUAGUUUUUCUUAUCUUUUUUUUUUUUUUUCCUUAAUAACUUAUUCUCUCGAGUGCUCAAAUUGAAAAUUCCUUAACUCCCCACAAAUAAGAAGUUUUUAAUUAUUUCUUAAACUUAUAUGGUAAAGGAACAAAAUCUAAAAACUUUUAAAUGUCAGUCAUUAUGUGCAGUUUAAGAAAACAUGUAGAGAUUGUCAAAACAUUUUUUAUUCAGUAUACUUAUAUUUGAUUGUUGCAAAAUAAAAGUUUGUAAAUGCAAUAAUAUUAAUCUAUGCAAAAUAAAUUACAACCAUUGUAGAUGAAUAAGAACCUAAAAAGGAUGUUUGACUUAGAGGCUGUUUGGGAGUGAUUUUGAGAAUUGAUUUUUUGAUCGAUAGAAGAAAAGUGGGGUCUAUCUGUGAGAGAAGAAGUCAAAUUAACGGCUGAAAUAGUGAAAUAACGGUCAAAAAAUAAAUUUUUUUGGUGAAAAAAUUGGACCCAAACAGCCCUUAGCUUAAAUGUUGCACAAAAAUCUAAGAUCUCACUAUCGAGAACGCUAAUGAUUAGAAUUUAAAUUAAUAAAUAACUUGGUGAAUGUUUAAUGUGGACUUUAUAAGAAUAAAUUAUAAUAUUUCCGGUGCCUACCAUGUCCUGAUUUUUUUCUGAGAUGUUAUGGUAUGAAUAUGUGAAUGUGAAUUGACCUACAUUAUGAUUAUGGUAGGGCAGUCUCAUUCCACACUUUCUACAUAUUUUUCAUGAGUUGGGGGACCCAUGCAAUAAUUCCCCAUAAAUGGAUCAUCUAGAAAGACUAGACAUGUCACGUUUACCUUAUGCCAAGGCUAUAUAAAUUUCCGUGGAGUAAUCAUACAACCCUGGUCUAUUCUAUAAAGUUAAUUAUUUGUUAAUUAAAUAUAGAAAACGUUUAGUCCCUGUUUUGCCUCAAUUUUUAAGAUUUUUUUUUCUAAACCCAUUUUAAACCACACAUUUAAUUAAAAUCCACAACUUUUAUUAAAUUUUCAACCAUACAUUUUUAUCAGUUUUUAUCAAAAUAUAACAAAAACAAAUUCAUUUUUAGUCAAGUCAAACAGGGACUAAGUGCCAUAAAUACUUGGGAUAAUAUAAGUUGGGUGCUUACGUAGAGAAU
rnacentral:lncRNA from 1 species